GACGAAGGGGGCAAGCGUUGUUCGGAAUUACUGGGCGUAAAGCGCGUGUAGGUGGUUGCACGAGUCAGGCGUGAAAGCCUCGAGCUCAACUCGAGAAAUGCGCUUGAUACUGUGCGGCUAGAGGACCGGAGAGGAUAGUGGAAUUCCCAGUGUAGAGGUGAAAUUCGUAGAUAUUGGGAAGAACACCGGUGGCGAAGGCGGCUAUCUGGCCCGUAAUUGACGCUGAGGCGCGAAAGCGUGGGGAGCAAACAGG
rnacentral:rRNA from 1 species